rnacentral:rRNA from 1 species
AUUGGACGCUGGCGGCAGGCCUAACACAUGCAAGUCGAGCGGAUGAAGGGAGCUUGCUCCUUGAUUCAGCGGCGGACGGGUGAGUAAUGCCUAGGAAUCUGCCUGGUAGUGGGGGAUAACGUCCGGAAACGGGCGCUAAUACCGCAUACGUCCUGAGGGAGAAAGUGGGGGAUCUUCGGACCUCACGCUAUCAGAUGAGCCUAGGUCGGAUUAGCUAGUUGGUGGGGUAAAGGCCUACCAAGGCGACGAUCCGUAACUGGUCUGAGAGGAUGAUCAGUCACACUGGAACUGAGACACGGUCCAGACUCCUACGGGAGGCAGCAGUGGGGAAUAUUGGACAAUGGGCGAAAGCCUGAUCCAGCCAUGCCGCGUGUGUGAAGAAGGUCUUCGGAUUGUAAAGCACUUUAAGUUGGGAGGAAGGGCAGUAAGUUAAUACCUUGCUGUUUUGACGUUACCAACAGAAUAAGCACCGGCUAACUUCGUG